GUCCAGAGCAAAGUCAGUCUGUCCUGAUGGCACUACCUGCUACUAUGGCUGCUGCUCUCAACCUGGUGGGGCAAGUCUUAAGAGUUGCAGACGGGGGAGCAAAGGGAGUUCCUGGACCCUUAAAGGGUUAAGGCCAUAAUGGGCCACCCAGAAGAGAUUCAGGCACUCCCUCAAGAUUGCUGGGCCAUGCAAUUAAUGCCAAACUUACAGAACUGUGAUGUCAGUACAGAAACAAAAAUAGCAAUUUUUAAAUAAAUUCAACAAAAGAAAACAG